GACGAACGCUGGCGGCGUGCCUAAUACAUGCAAGUCGAGCGCAGGAAGCCGUCUGAACCCUUCGGGGGGACGACGGUGGAAUGAGCGGCGGACGGGUGAGUAACACGUAAAGAACCUGCCCAUAGGUCUGGGAUAACCACGAGAAAUCGGGGCUAAUACCGGAUGUGUCAUCGGACCGCAUGGUCAGCUGAUGAAAGGCGCUCCGGCGUCGCCCAUGGACGGCUUUGCGGUGCAUUAGCUAGUUGGUGGGGUAACGGCCCACCAAGGCGACGAUGCAUAGCCGACCUGAGAGGGUGAUCGGCCACACUGGGACUGAGACACGGCCAGACUCCUACGGGAGGCAGCAGUAGGGAAUCUUCCACAAUGGACGAAAGUCUGAUGGAGCAACGCCGCGUGAACGAUGAAGGCUUUCGGGUCGUAAAGUUCUGUUGUAAGGGAAGAACAAGUGCCGCAGGCAAUGGCGGCACCUUGACGGUACCUUGCGAGAAAGCCACGGCUAACUACGUGCCAGCCGCCGCGGUAA
rnacentral:rRNA from 1 species